CUCUCCGUAGCUCAGUUGGCAGAGCAGCUGACUCUUAAUCAGCGGGUCGCAGGUUCGAGCCCUGCCGGGGAGA
rnacentral:tRNA from 1 species